AGAGUUUGAUCCUGGCUCAGGAUGAACGCUAGCGGGAGGCUUAACACAUGCAAGUCGAGGGGCAACAUGAUGUGGCAAUACAUUGAUGGCGACCGGCGCACGGGUGAGUAACGCGUAUGCAACCUACCUUUUACAGGAGGAUAGCUUCCGGAAACGGAAAUUAAUACUCCAUAAUUUUCUAUUAAGGCAUCUUGAUAGAAUCAAAGCUCCGGCGGUAAAAGAUGGGCAUGCGUAACAUUAGUUAGUUGGUGAGGUAACAGCUCACCAAGGCGACGAUGUUUAGGGGUCCUGAGAGGGUCAACCCCCACACUGGUACUGAGACACGGACCAGACUCCUACGGGAGGCAGCAGUGAGGAAUAUUGGUCAAUGGGCGCAAGCCUGAACCAGCCAUCCCGCGUGCAGGAAGACAGCCCUAUGGGUUGUAAACUGCUUUUCUGAGGGAAGAAUAACCCCGAUUCGUUCGGGGGACGACGGUACCUCAGGAAUAAGCAUCGGCUAACUCCGUGCCAGCAGCCGCGGUAAUACGGAGGAUACAAGCGUUAUCCGGAUUCAUUGGGUUUAAAGGGUGCGUAGGCGGACUGGUAAGUCAGUGGUGAAAUCUUUCGGCUCAACCGAGAAACUGCCAUUGAAACUGUCAGUCUUGAGUCAGGUAGAGGUAGGCGGAAUGUGUAAUGUAGCGGUGAAAUGCUUAGAUAUUACACAGAACACCGAUUGCGUAGGCAGCUUACUGGACCUGCACUGACGCUGAGGCACGAAAGCGUGGGGAGCGAACAGGAUUAGAUACCCUGGUAGUCCACGCCGUAAACUAUGAUUACUCGUUGUUGGCGACACACCGUCAGCGACCAAGCGAAAGCGAUAAGUAAUCCACCUGGGGAGUACGCUCGCAAGAGUGAAACUCAAAGGAAUUGACGGGGGCCCGCACAAGCGGUGGAACAUGUGGUUUAAUUCGAUGAUACGCGAGGAACCUUACCUGGGCUUAAAUGUAGACUGCAUAAUGUGGAAACGCAUUUUUUCUUUACCGACUGUUUUACCAGGUGCUGCUUGGUUGUCGUCAGCUCGUGCCGUGAGGUGUCGGGUUUAGUCCCAUAACGAGCGCAACCCUUAUCGUUAGUUGCCAUCGGAUAAAGCCGGGGACUCUAGCGAAACUGCCACCGUAAGGUGAGAGGAAGGUGGGGAUGACGUCAAAUCAGCACGGCCCUUAUGUCCGGGGCUACACACGUGUUACAAUGGCCAGCACAAAGGGCAGCUACCUGGUGACAGGAUGCUAAUCUCGAAAUCUGGUCCAAGUUCGGAUCGGAGUCUGCAACUCGACUCCGUGAAGCUGGAAUUGCUAGUAAUCGCGCAUCAGCCAUGGCGCGGUGAAUACGUUCCCGGGCCUUGUACACACCGCCCGUCAAGCCAUGGAAGCUGGGGGUGCCUGAAGUCCGUAACCGCAAGGAGCGGCCUAGGGUAAAACUAGUGACUGGGGCUAAGUCGUAACAAGGUAGCC
rnacentral:rRNA from 1 species